rnacentral:rRNA from 15 species
ACGGGUGAGUAAUGCCUAGGAAUCUGCCUGGUAGUGGGGGAUAACGUUCGGAAACGGACGCUAAUACCGCAUACGUCCUACGGGAGAAAGCAGGGGACCUUCGGGCCUUGCGCUAUCAGAUGAGCCUAGGUCGGAUUAGCUAGUUGGUGGGGUAAUGGCUCACCAAGGCGACGAUCCGUAACUGGUCUGAGAGGAUGAUCAGUCACACUGGAACUGAGACACGGUCCAGACUCCUACGGGAGGCAGCAGUGGGGAAUAUUGGACAAUGGGCGAAAGCCUGAUCCAGCCAUGCCGCGUGUGUGAAGAAGGUCUUCGGAUUGUAAAGCACUUUAAGUUGGGAGGAAGGGUUGUAGAUUAAUACUCUGCAAUUUUGACGUUACCGACAGAAUAAGCACCGGCUAACUCUGUGCCAGCAGCCGCGGUAAUACAGAGGGUGCAAGCGUUAAUCGGAAUUACUGGGCGUAAAGCGCGCGUAGGUGGUUUGUUAAGUUGGAUGUGAAAUCCCCGGGCUCAACCUGGGAACUGCAUUCAAAACUGACUGACUAGAGUAUGGUAGAGGGUGGUGGAAUUUCCUGUGUAGCGGUG